rnacentral:rRNA from 1 species
CACGUAGGGCGCAAGCGUUGUCCGGAAUUAUUGGGCGUAAAGAGCUCGUAGGCGGUCUGUUGCGUCCGCUGUGAAAACUCGGGGCUUAACCCCGAGCCUGCAGUGGAUACGGGCAGACUAGAGGUAGGUAGGGGAGAAUGGAAUUCCCGGUGUAGCGGUGAAAUGCGCAGAUAUCGGGAGGAACACCGGUGGCGAAGGCGGUUCUCGGGGCCUUACCUGACGCUGAGGAGCGAAAGCGUGGGGAGCGAACAGG